rnacentral:rRNA from 1 species
AUUGAACGCUGGCGGCAGACCUAACACAUGCAAGUCGAACGGUAACAGGAAGAAGCUUGUUUCGUUGCUGACGAGUGGCGGACGGGUGAGUAAUGUCUGGGAAACUGCCUGAUGGAGGGGGAUAACUACUGGAAACGGUAGCUAAUACCGCAUCACGUCGCAAGACCAAAGAGGGGGACCUUCGGGCCUCUUGCCAUCGGAUGUGCCCAGAUGGGAUUAGCUAGUAGGUGGGGUAACGGCUCACCUAGGCGACGAUCCCUAGCUGGUCUGAGAGGAUGACCAGCCACACUGGAACUGAGACACGGUCCAGACUCCUACGGGAGGCAGCAGUAGGGAAUAUUGCACAAUGGGCGCAAGCCUGAUGCAGCCAUGCCGCGUGUAUGAAGAAGGCCUUCGGGUUGUAAAGUACUUUCAGCGGGGAGGAAGGGAGUAAAGUUAAUACCUUUGCUCAUUGACGUUACCCGCAGAAGAAGCACCGGCUAACUCCGUGCCAGCAGCCGCGGUAAUACGGAGGGUGCAAGCGUUAAUCGGAAUUACUGGGCGUAAAGCGCACGCAGGCGGUUUGUUAAGUCAGAUGUGAAAUCCCCGGGCUCAACCUGGGAACUGCAUCUGAUACUGGCAAGCUUGAGUCUCGUAGAGGGGGGUAGAAUUCCAGGUGUAGCGGUGAAAUGCGUAGAGAUCUGGAGGAAUACCGGUGGCGAAGGCGGCCCCCUGGACGAAGACUGACGCUCAGGUGCGAAAGCGUGGGGAGCAAACAGG